AUGCCUAACACAUGCAAGUCGAACGAGAUCUUCGGAUCUAGUGGCGCACGGGUGCGUAACACGUGGGAAUCUGCCCUUUGGUUCGGAAUAACUCAGGGAAACUUGAGCUAAUACCGGAUGAUGACGUAAGUCCAAAGAUUUAUCGCCAAAGGAUGAGCCCGCGUAGGAUUAGCUAGUUGGUAGGGUAAAGGCCUACCAAGGCGACGAUCCUUAGCUGGUCUGAGAGGAUGAUCAGCCACACUGGGACUGAGACACGGCCCAGACUCCUACGGGAGGCAGCAGUGGGGAAUAUUGGACAAUGGGGGAAACCCUGAUCCAGCAAUGCCGCGUGAGCGAUGAAGGCCUUAGGGUUGUAAAGCUCUUUUACCCGGGAUGAUAAUGACAGUACCGGGAGAAUAAGCCCCGGCUAACUCCGUGCCAGCAGCCGCGGUAAUACGGAGGGGGCUAGCGUUGUUCGGAAUUACUGGGCGUAAAGCGCACGUAGGCGGCUAUUCAAGUCAGGGGUGAAAGCCCGGGGCUCAACCCCGGAAUUGCCCUUGAAACUAGAUAGCUAGAAUCAUGGAGAGGUGAGUGGAAUUCCGAGUGUAGAGGUGAAAUUCGUAGAUAUUCGGAAGAACACCAGUGGCGAAGGCGGCUCACUGGACAUGUAUUGACCGCUGAGGUGCGAAAAGCGUGGGGAAGCAAACAGG
rnacentral:rRNA from 1 species